rnacentral:rRNA from 1 species
GUAGGGAAUAUUGGGCAAUGGAAGGAAUUCUGACCCAGCCAUGCCGCGUGCAGGAAUACAGUCCUAUGGACUUUAAACUGCUUUUAUUAUAGAGUAACCUGGGGGACGUGUCCCCCACUGCAAGUAUAUAAUGAAUACGCAUCGGCUAACUCCGUGCCAGCAGCCGCGGUAAUACGGGGGAUGCAAGCGUUAUCCGGAUUUAUUGGGUUUAAAGGGUGCGCAGGCUGAUCGGUAAGUCAUGGGUGAAAAGUCACUGCUUAACAGUGAUCGUGCCUAUGAUACUGCCGGACUAGAGUUUAAGAGGUGUAACUGGAAUGUGAUGUGUAGCGGUGAAAUGCUUAGAUAUGUCACAGAACGCCAAUCGUGAAGACAGGUUACAAACUUAAUACUGACGCUCAUGCACGAAAGCGUGGGGAUCAAACAGGAUUAGAUACCCCUGUAGUCC